rnacentral:rRNA from 1 species
CCUACGGGAGGCAGCAGUGGGGAAUAUUGGGCAAUGGGCGCAAGCCUGACCCAGCAACGCCGCGUGAAGGAAGAAGGCUUUCGGGUUGUAAACUUCUUUUCUUAGGGACGAAGAAAGUGACGGUACCUCAGGAAUAAGCCACGGCUAACUACGGGCCAGGAGCCGCGGUAAUACGUAGGUGGCAAGCGGUCUCCGGAUUUAUUGGGUGUAAAGGGCGUGUAGGAGGGAAAGCAAGUCAGAUGUGAAAACUCAGGGCUCAACCCUGGGCCUGCAUUUGAGACUGUUUUUCUUGAGUGCUGGAGAGGCAAUCGGAAUUCCGUGUGUAGCGGUGAAAUGCGUAGAUAUACGGAGGAACACCAGUGGCGAAGGCGGAUUGCUGGACAGUAACUGACGCUGAGGCGCGAAAGCGUGGGGAGCGAACAGGAUUAGAUACCCUAGUAGUC